rnacentral:pre_miRNA from 1 species
UUCAUAUUCCUCCGUCCAACAAAAGAUGUCUCAAGUUUGUCGAAAUUUGAAUAUAUCUAGACAUGACUUAGUGUAUAGAUGCAUUUAAAUUUAGUCAGUUGAGACAUCCUUUGUUAGAUGGAAGGAGUAUUUG